UGUAUGUUGUGCGCAUGGAGAGCCAGGA
rnacentral:sRNA from 1 species